GAAGAAGAAGAAGAAGAAGAAGAAGAAGCAGAAGAAGAGGACUUCCGCAGAGUCAUACAAUCCAUUAGCCAGUUACUGCGAUCAUUUAUUGUUUCAUUUACAAAAUGGUUAAAUUGAAAGACAAGAAACGAGAGAAAAUCAGUAUAGCCACUGAGAUUGACCGUUUGGAGGAGAAACGAGCGAGGUGCAGCGACAACUUGGAGAGAGCGGAAUUCAAGAGCAGGAAGGAAAGGCUGGCUGAGAAGGAGAGACAAGAACUGGAAGAUGAAAUGGCAAUCAUAAGUGAGCGGGUGCAAAAGCUGGACAAGGAGCUGGAGUCACUUAGAGGCGAGAACAGGAGGAACAUGCUGCUGUCAGUCGCUCUUCUGGCUGUCAGCGCUCUCUUCUACUACAUCUUUUUCUACAGUGAGAAUGACGCAUGACACCACCAAGAAACUCAAAGGAACCUUCUAGUCUUAAUAAGCUCAGGACAGCGUUGUUAUGAGGACUUGAUUGUGGACACAAGAGCUUCAUCUCAUUGUCACUUUGUGCCUCCUCGUCGUUUCCUCUCUUCUCAGCCUUCCUGGCGGUGAUUUAGAGGGUGAUGUCAGCUAAAACAUUUUGAAGGAUCACACAAUUUCCAAACUGCGUAUGAGGGAGAGAACAAAUUUGCUGGUGGAGCUAAAAGAUACAAUGGUGCAUCCAUGUCUUUUCAGUAACUGACAUCUGAAGGAGACAAAGCUCAAUAAUCCCAUAUUGUAAAUUGAAUUUAAAGCCAAUAUAUGCCUAGUCAAAUAUACUUUUAAAGCUCCUCUGACAGAAAUAAGACCUAGCAAUAUGCUGUAAAAAAGAAAAAGGUGAAUGAUGCAUCAUGUUUAUCUGAUGCUGAUUUUAAAACGAUGGAUCUUUAUUAUGAAUGUCUCAUUUUAUUUAAUUGCCAUCUUACCUCUUCUCUGCUCAUGUCUUUGUCAACUUCUCUGCUCGAACUUCUGAUGGGAAUGACUAAGACACAAGGAGGGAAGUCGAGGACUUGUGCUGCUGCCUCAGUUCAGCCUCCAGGUGGCAUCUUUGCCUUUUCAUUGUGUUUUGUGUGCAUCAAAUUGGAUUUUAUCCUGUGCACUCAAACCCAUUACAGUUUCAUGAACUGCACAUAUGGACUUGGAACCAUGCUUGAAGCUUGAUAAUUAUUUUGCUUGUUACACCGCAGGCAGUAAUUUCUAUAUGAGCUAAUGUGUAGUGACAAAGAAGCCUUCAGGUUAGAGUUGAUAUCAACUCUGUUACGUUAAGAUAAAGCGAGUGAGCAUCUUUGUUUAAAAACCUUAUUGCUAUUCAACACGUGGCCUCAUUAACUGACUGAAUGUAAAGUUCUGCUUAUGCAAAUCAGUGUGUAAUCACAAAUAUCAAAGAGCUGCAUCAGGAAAUAGUACCAGACGCGUCUGCUUUUCAGUCAUAUGUGUGAAAAUGUGAAUGUAUGAUUAAUGAAAUUUUCUUUAACGCAAGUGUGAGUUGCUGAGAAAUGAAAGUUCUUUCUUUUGUAUAACCAUCCAUACAGCUGUCUCCUAACGAGAGCCUGAGAAAACAUCAAACAUCCACAUAAAUGCUUUGUUUACUAUAAACAGGAGAAGUUGAGGUUGAUUCUUUUUUAUGCAUUUGUUUUUCAUGAAUAAAUUAAAUGCUUUGUAUCA